rnacentral:rRNA from 1 species
CGUGAGUAACCUGCCUUGGAGUGGGGAAUAACACAGUGAAAACUGUGCUAAUACCGCAUAAUGCAUUUGGGUCGCAUGAUUCUGAAUGCCAAAGAUUUAUCGCUCUGAGAUGGACUCGCGUCUGAUUAGCUAGUCGGCGGGGUAACGGCCCACCAAGGCGACGAUCAGUAGCCGGACUGAGAGGUUGGCCGGCCACAUUGGGACUGAGACACGGCCCAG